rnacentral:snRNA from 1 species
AUCGCUUCUCGGCCUUUUGGCUAAGAUCAAGUGUAUAAUUAGAUUUAUGUUAAUUUCUGUAUUUUUAUUAAAUGAUAGCUUUCUUUAGGCCUAGAAUUUCUUGGCUCAGAACUAUAAGACUAACUAGUAAAGGGAACUGCAG